rnacentral:ncRNA from 1 species
GAUGAGCACUGGGGGAGCCUUCUGGCUGAGACGAUUUUCGGACCCUUGGAACCUGAUCUGGAUAACACCAGCGUAGGGAAGUGGUGAAAUUUGCUG